AUGAAUGGUUCUAAGGCGCUCUGGCAUAUGCUAUACUGGGAUCUCUCUGGCUUCUCCAAAGAGGAGGAAAACACAGCACUCUCUGAAAUGGCUAGCAAAGACUUUGAGGGAAGAGCAGGUUUUCUUCAAAGAGGAGGAAGUGUGCGUAUGUGUAGCUGUAUCUCAGGAGGAAAGUGGACAAGGAUCAGAGGUGGGAAGCCGGUGACAGAGACAUCAUUUUUGUCUAGCCUACUGAGGUGCCCAGAAAUUAGGACCUAAAGGGUUCCGUUAGAGGAGAGAUUGUUCAUGGAUCUUCAACCACUAGGAACAAAAACAUGAAGGGACCGUGGCAGAAUAGUUGUUUUGACCCUCAAAACAAUACAAUUGACUUCAACAGUUUUGAAGUUUUUAAGUCAUAUUCCUUCAGUAUUAUGCUUUUAUUUGCUUUAGGGGGGGUGAGGAUGUUGUGAAUCUGCAGUAUUUUCUCUCUCCCCCCUUUUUCCCUCUUCUCUACAUAAAGGUGUUUAAAAUUAUUAAAAAGAAAGUAAUGACACUGUUUAUCUUCAGGAAUGUAGAGACUGAUCUUUAGGGAAGAAAUCUUAAUGACAUAAGCACUAUCAGUUAUUGAGAAAUAUUGUCACAACAUGAGAUUAAUUUUACUUUCAAUGCAGGGUUUUAAGGGUAAUUCCAUGGGAAGGAAAAA
rnacentral:lncRNA from 1 species